AAGGGUCUAGACAAGGGAGAAAUGUCAGUGGGGGUUUGGAAUCUGGAAGUGAUUAUGAAACCAAUUAGCACCUUUGAUUCUAGAAAAUUGAUUACAAAGGAUUUAAAUAAGAUUGAAGGUCAAGUGAAAUGGUACUAACAUGUUUGUAAAGAUACAUUGACUCAGAUAUUCUGGAAUAUGUUUCUGUCUCUUAGAGAAACAAACAGCUAUAUGGUAAGGCUUCACACUCAUUAUCAUUUAACCAAGGCAACCUGAGACUUUGCUAGUCUGUGUAAUGCAGUAAAAAUCAGCUUGUUAAGGGAUGUUUAAAGGGUGCCUCCAUUUGUUUUCAGAUCCAGGCAAGGGAUGGGGAAUUUGGUGGCAAUUUGAGAUGAUGAUGGAGACCCUGUUAUAAUUUGUUUUUUCAACACAUGUCUACCUACUGUGUGCCAGGCUUUGGGGUAGGUAUCAGGAAUUACACUGUACUCAUUCACUUAGUUACUCAGCAAUCAUGUGAUGUCCUUGUGAGAUGCUUGAAAUAAGAUAUUACAAAGACUACUCACAGGGUAAGAGUGCCGUCAACUAACUACCCGCCUGAUACUAAGCACGGUGGGGUUUGAAGAUGGGAACCACAGUGGUGGCGUGGUUACUACACUCCGGAGCCUGAAAAUCUGGGCUCAAGUCCUGACUCUACUAUUGGCCAUUUGUAGGGUGUUACUUAAUUUCUCUGAGCCUCAGUAUCUUUAUUUGUAUUGUGGGGAGAAUUACUUGAUAGAGCAAUGAUAAUUUGAUGGAAUAUGCCUGUGAAGCAGUUAGCAGAAUAUCUGAAACAGAAAAGGCAGCAGACUCAAAGAGGACCGGGGCUCCAUCUGCCUUAGGCUGAGACUCCUGAGCUGUGAGGAAGUCCUCCAUACAUACCCUUCUCUGCCCACCCACCUGGUCUCCAGGUGUGAGCCUCCAGUUUGGAGCCUGUUACCCUGGCAACCACAUCAGGGAAGAUGGCUGCCACAGCUGAGCCAGGCUCUCCGGUCUUCACAAACCUCAUUUCCUCCCACGCCCUGGGUCACCCCAGCAGGGAGGCAGCAUAAUUCCAGUUUAGAGGUAAGGCAGGAUCAAGGGAAAUUUGGUGACUUGCCCAAGAUCUUAGCAGGAUUUAAACCCAGGUCUGCCUGGUUCUAGGGCUGUGUUUCUUCAAUCAGCCUCCCACCUUCAAAUUGGCAGCAUGACAAGGAAGAUGGCAGGGUGGAAGCGGCCAGAGCAUGACUUUGGAAAGAGCAUCUUGAUGAGAACUUCCAACCCCCACCCCCUGGCAUUUUGGUUUUUGUUGUUUUUUUGGGAGAAAGCCCUGCCUGGGCACAGGUGGCAGUCCUGUUUGGCAGAGGAUGGAGAGUGACUUGUUUCCAAGAUGGGUAUUUUAACAGCCUGUGCCUAAUUGCACAGCUCUUGUGCUGAUGAGAUGUUUGUCAUGGGCUUUUUGCCAAAGUGAGAUCCAGGUGUCAUCCGAGGUAGUCACUGAUUAAGCAUUCCCAAAGUGACAGUGUAGUUCAGAAAGCCAACCCAGUCCAAGGAUGGGCAAGCAAGGGACAGGAGUGGUGAGGAGGGCUUUGGUGUCUGGACAGAUCUGCCUCCCAUUCUGGUGCUGCCACACUGUGCCACUGUGACUAUAGCAAGUGAUGUAAUCUUUCUUGGUCUCAAUGUGUUUAUCUAUGAAUAAGAGAAAAUACUGUGUGUAUGCAGCUGUGCUUUGAAGAUUGGAGUUCUCUCUGCAAAGUGCCUAGUGCAGAGCUUGGCACAUAGGAGGUUUUGAGUAACAGCAGGUACCAGCCAUUUAUUGUACAUCAAGAAUCCUAGAUUAAGCUCUGUGAGGGCAGGAACUACACCUUUUUUGUGCAUUGUUAUAUUCUUAGUUUCUGGCAUUGUGCCUGACACAUAGUAAAUAAUUGUGGAUAGAUAGAGGAUUGAGAAAUAUCUUGUAGGUGGUGUGGAUGGAACAUGGUGGCUGGUUGACUCAUGAUGACAGAGGCAACAAAGAUGACUUGGGGGUGGUUGGUUUGAGCAGGUCAGUGUGAUGAUGCUACUUGCUAAACGGGGAAUGCAGGAGGAAAAGCAAACCCAGAAAUGGAUGUGGGAAAGAUGAACUCAGUUUUGACUGUGUGUCUGCAGGACAUCAAAGAGGAUUUGAGUAGCGGAUACAUAAAAGUGUGCAUAUGGGGUCCUGCUGGGUGGAGGGUCAGUAAGGCAGCCUUAACUCUAGGAAAUCAUCCUUGUGUUGCUUAAGACACCAUGCACUGCAAAGAACAAAACACCUUGAGUUAGGAUGACUUCACCGAGGGAUGGGAAAACUAUGGCUAUGUCUAGCCCACUGCCUGAUUUUGGAUGUCAUGUUUAUUGGAACAGAGACAUGUCCAUGUGUCUCUGUGGCUGCUUUCAUGUUACAAGGACAGACUAGUGGUUUCAGAGACUGAACGACUGGCACAGCCUAAAAUAUUUACUCUUUGGUCAUUUACAGGAAAAAAGAAAAUGCUGACACGUGACUUAAUAUGUUAUCUCAUUUGCAUCAUGAUUUAAGAUUCUACAUAUAAGUGAUACCAUAUGAUAUUUGUCUUUUUCUGUCUGACUUACUUAAUAUGAUAAUCUCUAGGUCCAUCCAUAUUGCUACAAAACAGAAAUAGACUCACAGACAUAGAAGACAAACUUAAGGUUACAAAAGGGAAUGGGGCCUUUGGUAAAGGAGUUUGGGAUUAACAUAUACACCUUAUUAUACAUAAAAUAGGUAAAUGACAAGGACCUACUGUAUAGCACAGGGAACUAUUACAUAUCUUGUAAUUACCUAUGCUAGAAAAGCAUCUGAAAAAGAAUAUAUGUAUAAUUGAAUCAUUUCACUAUACACUUAAAGCUAACAGAACAUUGUAAAUUAACUAUACUUUAAUGAAAACACAAUGAAACAAAAAAGCAAUAUAUUAUCUCAUUAAAUAAGGCUCAGGUCAGAUUGUUUCCAUGGUCCAAGGUUGUGAUGGGGAUGCAGGACCUUUCUGUCACACUUAACUCUGUCCAUCUCAGUGUCCAGUUUCCAUCUCAGUGUCCAGUUUCCAUCUCACUUUCCAUCCUCAGUGUGUCAGUUCUGCCUAAGGCUGUCUCCCUUCAUCACUGCAGGAUGGCAGCAGCACUUCCCUGCUUUAUAUCUGGAAAUGACACCUCCUGGUGCUGAGGAAGGUACAUAUCUCUUUCUUGCGUCCUUGUGGAAGCACCCCCCUGCCCCACCCCACUUCUCCUCCUGGCUCUUGCUCCAAGGUUUAGUCUCCAGUCUCUUACAAGGGAAAUGGCAUUAAGAGGUUAGCGUAGACCAGUGAUUCUCAAUGCUGGCCGUACAUUAAAUGACCCCCGAGACUUUUAAAAAUAGAAUUUGCAGCAAGUCCAGAUAUUGGAUUUUUUAAAAGCAUCCUGGGUGAUUUUAAGGUGCAGCAAGUAUGGAGUGAAAACUGCCUGAGACAAAUCAUUCUGAGGAGGAACAGGUGCUAGCAACACAGAUGUUAUGACCAAUACAAUCCCCAUGGAGAAAAAAAUAGAUGCCUUGGAGGCUGAGUCCCUGCUCAGGACAGGCUUGUCAGGAGUAUUCUUGGUAGCUGGGCUGGAUCAGACAAGAUGUUAGUUCAGUUAAGGCCAAAGGCAGCCUAAUCAGAAGUAAAAAUUGUGACCAAGGAGUAAAGCCAGACUCCAGAGCCAAAAAAGAGCAUUAGGUAGCAAGUCUGGGGGACAAAACGGAAAUAGGAAGUAGGAAAAUGAGCCAAGAGUGUGGAGAGGUGAGGAGGGGGAGAUGGAGAAAGGUGAGCAACAGGGGCGCCGGAGGCCAGAUGUGAUGCCAGGUGUGAUGAAGAACAACGUUCUGUAGAGUCAAAGGGACAGCGCUGGACCUGAGCGGCCAGGACCUGUGUCUCUCCCUCAGCCCCUGUGGCGGUGCUUGGCCUUAGUCAGGCCAUAACCGAGGCCAAGAUAUCGAUGGGCAGGUGCCUCCCUGCCCCCUCUUGUUUGACUCUGGCUUCUGCCAGAUUCACAAAAGGAGCCAGCAGUGUUGUUCAUUAAAAAGCAUCAAAUUCACCAUAGGUUUGUGAGGGCUGAACUUAGCAACAGCCCUUUGGCAAAUGCCAGAAAGAGGCUGAAGUUUUUCUCUGGUGACCAGUGCUCCCGUGUUCUCUGUCCCCUUCCUUCUUCUUCUUUCCUGUUGUUCCCUCCUUUCUUGGGGGCCAGGACUUUCCCAGGCAGCCUCUGUGUUCCAUCCCUCCAUCAUUCAGUCAGGCCGGUCUCUCCCCUCAGUUCAGUGAUAGUCUGUCCGGCAUUCAUUAAACAAACAUGUAUAAAACAUCCACCAUGUGCCAGGCAUCCACAUGCUGUAGUCCUAAGGCAUGGAGAUGGAGGAGCACUAAAUCCACUGUCAGGAGACUCGUGUGGACUGACCAUGGACCGAGGCAGAUUCAUAGACAAGCAGUCAACACUUAUGAGAACAAAAUAAAUUGCAGUGUGACUUUUCAAGUCUUAAAACCAAACAGUGGGCCGGAAGACCCAGGGUCCAGGAGCUCUAAUGGCACCUGCCAUCUUUGUUUAGUUCUGGACAAAUCACCCAACUGCUUGGAGUCAGCUUCCCAAUAUGCCAAAAUAGCAAGGUGGUGACUGCUUAGAACCACCAACAGCGACAGCCAAUGGAUUGAUAGCCACAGCAUGUGACUGUUUUUACAGAAUUGUGUAACGUUAUACAAAGACAGAGGUAUUUUAUGUAUCUUUUUCUUCUUCUCCUCCUGGGUAGAAACAGACCUAAAAUAACUCUUAAGGAUUCAAUUUUGAAACUCAAACUUCCCUUUGUAUUCUUUUUCAGCUGUGCCCGUGGCAUAUGGAAGUACCCUGGUCAGGGAUUGAAUAUGAGCCACAGCUGCAACCUACACCACAACUGCAGCAAAUCUGGAUCCUUAAUGCAGUUCUCCAGGCUGGGGCUUGAACCCAUGCUGCUGCAGAGAACUCCUCAAACUCUCCUUUUAGCUAAUGUAACACAAUAGAGAUAAUGUGAGCCUGGAGUCAGACAGAGUUGUAUUCAAACCCUGGUUCUCCCAAUUCAUUGCUCUGUGUCCUUCACCAAGUUACUUAGCCUCUCUGAACUUAGUUUCCACAUUGGAGUAGCAAUAACACAUAACAUCUACUUGCAUGGGUGUUAUGAGGAAUAAGUGAAGUUAUACAUAUUUAGUGUUUUUGAAAUCUGGAGCCCUGGCACAGAGAAAGCAUUCCAGAAAUGAUAGCUGCUAUUAUUAUUACUGCUGCUGUUGUUGUUGUUAAUUGUAUUAUUAUUAGUGCUGUGCUGGUAAACUUUUACACUACAGCCUUCUCACAAGAAAAAAAAAAAAAAAAA
rnacentral:lncRNA from 1 species